rnacentral:rRNA from 1 species
GACGAACGCUGGCGGCGUGCUUAACACAUGCAAGUCGAGCGGUAAGGCCCUUCGGGUACGACGAGCGGCGAACGGGUGAGUAACACGUAGGUGACCUGCCUCUAGCUCUGGGAUAAGCCUGGGAAACUGGGUCUAAUACCGGAUAUGACUCCACGGCGCAUGUUGUGGGGUGGAAAGCCUUGUGUGGCUAGAGAUGGGCCCGCGGCCUAUCAGCUUGUUGGUGGGGUGAUGGCCUACCAAGGCGACGACGGGUAGCCGGCCUGAGAGGGCGACCGGCCACACUGGGACUGAGACACGGCCCAGACUCCUACGGGAGGCAGCAGUGGGGAAUCUUGCGCAAUGGGCGAAAGCCUGACGCAGCGACGCCGCGUGAGGGAUGACGGCCU